AUGCUCCUCUCCUCCAUGACGGAGGACAUUGCAUCUCAGAUGAUUAGCUGCAAGUCCGCUGCUGCCGCAUGGACCUCCAUCCACGCCAUGUUCAGUGCGCAGAACUGUGCCAGGGUUUGGCACAUCCGGCGACAGAUUCAGUCGCUGAAGAAGAACGACAUGACUGCCAGUGAGUACAUGCACAAGGUGAAGGCUCUUGCCGACGCCAUGGCCUCCGCUGGAUCUCCCCUCACUGAUGACGAGAUCAUCAACUACAUGCUCACCGGACUGGGCAAGGCCUUCUGCCCGAACGCGGCUUCGCUCAGCGUCGUGGUCACCCCGGUCGCGCUGACUGAGUUCUACUCCAUGGUUCUCAACUAUGAAGCGCUGCAAUUGUCGCAACAUGCCGACGAUGAGGAGUAUACCUCGUCGGCCAACGCCGUGGGACGGUCCGGUGCUCCCGCCCCCGCCAACCGUCCUCGCGCGCCUGACACUGGUCGCGCAACCGACUCUCGCCACGCUGGAGGCUACCAGCAGCACCAGGCGCAGGGCUACCAGCAAGGCGGUCAAGACAACCGUCGUAACAACAGCGGUGGAGGAGGCGGCAACGGCCGCAACGGCAAUCGUCGCUGGAGCCCGAGAACCGGCUACGAGUGCUCAUGUGCGUAA
rnacentral:rRNA from 1 species